UACGUAGGGUGCAAGCGUUGUCCGGAAUUAUUGGGCGUAAAGAGCUUGUAGGCGGUUUGUCGCGUCUGCUGUGAAAUUUCGGGGCUCAACCCCGAACUUGCAGUGGGUACGGGCAGACUAGAGUGUGGUAGGGGAGACUGGAAUUCCUGGUGUAGCGGUGAAAUGCGCGGAUAUCAGGAGGAACACCGAUGGCGAAGGCAGGUCUCUGGGCCACUACUGACGCUGAGAAGCGAAAGCAUGGGGAGCGAACAGG
rnacentral:rRNA from 1 species